rnacentral:tRNA from 1 species
CUGGCGGCUCAGACAGUAAAGCAUCUGCCUGCAAUGCAGGAGACCCGGGUUCAAUUCCUGGGUCAGA